UGGGAUGAUAUAUAUUUACUAUAUAGUCAUCACAACUAAAUUUAAAACUAUUAACUUAUUAAAAAAAAGUUACACAUUACAAUCUCAUUAUUAGCAGUACUAAUUUAUGUCAGAGCAUCCUUGAAAGAUCAAGGAAUAUAAAUAGACUCAAGACCAUCCUGAGGCAUAAUUUAUACUGUCCAACUUAAUUAUUUUAAUCUUUCUUUUUGCAACAACUAAGGGAAACCCUAGUUCUCUCUAUCUCUUUGUUCUUCAUCUUUUCCAACCAAAAUCAUUCACAUAUGUUCACUACAGAUCUCAGCCAAAUGAUCUCAUAAACUUUAGAUUAUUAGAAAAGCUUGGAAGAGGUGAGAGAGGAAUUGAAGAUAGGACUCUAAAAUUUCAUAUGUGUCUGCUUCCACAGUUCUCAUCCCAGAUCUUUUUCUCCAUCUUCAUCUACAUCUGGGAUUUCUGAGUUUUUUUUCUGGGUUUGUUCUUAUUUAAGAAAUUUUACUCAUAUCUUUACAAGAGGGAUUGUUGUAGCAGAUCUAGUUCUUUUUCAUGUCCUGAUUUAUUUAGCGUUUUUAAUUUUUGUGACA